rnacentral:rRNA from 1 species
UACGGGGGGGGUAAGCGUUGUUCGGAAUUACUGGGCGUAAAGGGCUCGUAGGCGGCCAACUAAGUCAGACGUGAAAUCCCUCAGCUUAACUGGGGAACUGCGUCUGAUACUGGAUGGCUUGGAUUCGGGAGAGGAAUGCGGAAUUCCAGGUGUAGCGGUGAAAUGCUUAGAUAUCGUCAAGAACACCUAUUGCGAAGGCAGCUAACUAAGCUUUAACUGACGCUGAGGCACGAAAGUGUGGGGAUCUAACAGG